GAGGGUAUAGCUCAAGUGGUAGAGCGCAUGCUUAGCAUGCGUGAGGUGCUGAGUUUAAUCCCCAGUACCUCCU
rnacentral:tRNA from 1 species